rnacentral:misc_RNA from 1 species
CUGGCUUCAAUCAAACCAAGACUUUGUGCUGAUGCCAUCGGCAUCACAAUUUGAUAGCCUUAUAGCAGAAGGAUCCUCCAAGUGGCGCAAACUCUGCAACGAUCAGUCCUAUAUGAACUCCUUCCCAGAUAACCACUUUGAUCUUGAGACAGUUUUGAAGGCUGAUCUCAGGCCUUUAACCAUCUUGGGCAAUAAAUCUUUUACUGGGAUUUUUAGCCCGGAAAAGUUUGAAAACUUGAAGGGAGCCAAGUCUUUUGAUGAUAUAUGGAAAGAAAUAAGUAGCAGUACUGAAGAUUAUGAUCAGAGGAUCUAUAUUGUGAGUUGGAAUGAUCAUUUCUUUGUGUUGAAAGCAAAUGCUGAUGCCUUCUACAUCAUUGAUUCCUUAGGAGAGAGGCUCUUUGAGGGCUGCAACCAGGCAUACAUCUUAAAGUUUGAUGAGUCGUCUGUGAUGUACGGGAAGGUGGUGAAAGAAGAGGACGAUUCCAAUGAAAUGACAGUAACAGAGAAGCCCAAUGAUGAUGAGGAACAAGGGGCAGGGAUAUUUUGCAAAGGGC